ACGGGCAACUCCAUUGAAAUUUGCAUAAAUAUCAUUUGCCAUAGGUUGGCAUGUAAAUCUCGGCAGGAAACAUAAAAAUUCUAUAGCCUGGGGCAAAUUAAGCAGCAUUCGGGGCACAUACAAUACAUAUAACCUUAAACUCUGCACUCGAUAAGCGGGACAAACACAGCAAGCACAGAAAAGCAAACUUCAAAACUCUAUUAUUUCAGUACAUUAACUUUGGAUUUAUUGUUUAUGGCGAAGCAGCAGAAUCUUGUGUAUUCGUUUGUAUGGAUGUGUGUGUAUGUGACACAAUUUGUCACUCAGUCAAUGGUCACAAACAAAUAAACUUGCCAUAAAAAGCCAGAAAGUUUGUCUCUUUAGUUUAAGAUCGAGCGUAUAGGGUUGCAAGUUAAACAAUCAGAGAAAACCAAUGACUCAGAUACUAUGUCACUAUCCGACUACCUAUGUGCAGUAGAAGGACAAAUUCUUGCCAAACUGUUGACAGAGAAGCUGUGUUUGUAUGUGUUUACUUAAUCGAGAGUAACUAUUAGAGCGGAAAAAUUGUCAAGCUAAAGUUUCGAAUUCGGCAACUCGACAGCAAAAGUUGAAGCAUUACUUUGGGGUGCAAGACUAAUUGAAAGCGCCUGUUGUGCAUAGGCUGCAGGCAUUGUGCUCCUAAUGUGCAUUGUAAGUUAUGCACACGCGGCGUAUGCGCAAUGUAAACCACCAGCAUAAUGAGACAAGCGCCAGUUGCCGCAGCCAUGAGUGUGAGUUUCGUGACGGCCAUUUACACACACACAUGCACACACACAUACUCACGUAUUUAUUUUUUAUUGACUUGUUGGUAUUAGAAAGCAAUUUUAUUUGCAAGGCAAAGAAA